rnacentral:rRNA from 1 species
GCUCGGCCGUCAACAAAGACAGUAUAAGAUACAACACUGUUCGCCAGAGAACUACAAGCUAAAGCUAAAAACUCCAAGGACUUGGCGGUGCUCCACAUCACCCUAGAGGAGCCUGUCCUAUAAUCGAUACCCCACGAUCUACCUCACCAUUUUUUGAAACUCAGCCUAUAUACCGCCGUCGUCAGCCUACCUUAUGAAAGAAGCACAGUAAGCAAAAUAGUCACCAACUAAAACGUCAGGUCAAGGUGUAGCACAUAAAAUGGAAGAGAUGGGCUACACUCUCUCCCCCAGAGAACACGAACAGCAUCAAUGAAACCCUGCUCAAAGGUGGAUUUAGUAGUAAGAUAAACAAGAGAACUUAUCUUAAACCAGCCCUGGAGCGCGC